rnacentral:rRNA from 1 species
GAUUGACAUUACCAAUAUGACGGCGGGCUGGAAUCUCUCGGGGUUACAGCCUUGCUGAAUUAUUCACCCUUGUCUUUUGCGUACUUCUUGUUUCCUUGGUGGGUUCGCCCACCACUAGGACAAACAUAAACCUUUUGUAAUUGCAAUCAGCGUCAGUAACAAAUUAAUAAUUACAACUUUCAACAACGGAUCUCUUGGUUCUGGCAUCGAUGAAGAACGCAGCGAAAUGCGAUAAGUAGUGUGAAUUGCAGAAUUCAUUGAAUCAUCGAAUCUUUGAACGCACAUUGCCCCCUUUGGUAUUCCAAAGGGCAUGCCUGUUCAAGCGUCAUUUGUAACCUCCAGCGUUGAUUGGUGUUGGGCGUCUUGUGUUACUGAUGCUGAUUGACUCUACUUAAAGUUUAUGUUUGCCGGCCUGGUGGGCUAACCCCCCAAGGAAACUCGAACUCUCAAAAGACAAGGGUGAAUAAUUCUUAAGGCUGUUUCCCUAUAGAUUCUCGGAUCACGUACAUAUUCGCGUAAUGAUCUCUCCGCUCUUCACCUACAGGAAUUUUUUCCACUUUUGACCUCGGAUCCCUUCGGAUACCCGCUGAACUUAAGCAUAUCUUUAAACCCGGAGGA